UACAGAGGUCUCAAGCGUUGUUCGGAUUCAUUGGGCGUAAAGGGUGCGUAGGUGGUGAUGCAAGUCUGGUGUGAAAUCUCGGAGCUCAACUCCGAAUUGCACCGGAUACUGCGUGACUCGAGGACUGUAGAGGAGAUCGGAAUUCACGGUGUAGCAGUGAAAUGCGUAGAUAUCGUGAGGAAGACCAGUUGCGAAGGCGGAUCUCUGGGCAGUUCCUGACACUGAGGCACGAAGGCCAGGGGAGCAAACGGG
rnacentral:rRNA from 1 species